AGCAUGCACACUUAGAAACAUCUGAAGUACGUGGAGUUAAAAUAGUGUUGUAACUCAUGGAUUAUACGGUGAUCAUCUUUCUGCUGAUAGGAGCGCUGGUUAAUGGUACAUUUAGUCAAACUCAUCAGUACUACUAUGUGAGCACCUCACUGAACUGGACGGAGGCACAGAGCCACUGCAGAGAUGCCUACACUGACCUGGCCACCAUAGAAAGCACAGCUGACGUUGAUGCUGUCAGAAGCAUUGCAACAAACACAAGCAAGGCAUGGAUAGGUCUCUAUGAUGACCUGGAAAACAGUUGGAGAUGGUCCCUAAAUGACAGCAGCUUUUACGGUCAAGGAGAGACAACAUUUAGAAACUGGUACACUAAUCAGUCCGACAAUCUUAAUGGACAGCAAUACUGUGUGGCACUGUUAAGUGGGAGUCCAUACAAUGGUACAUGGGAUGACCGUGACUGUGACGAAGUGCUAAAC